rnacentral:rRNA from 1 species
GGUUAAGCGACUAAGCGUACACGGUGGAUGCCCUGGCAGUCAGAGGCGAUGAAGGACGUGCUAAUCUGCGAUAAGCGUCGGUAAGGUGAUAUGAACCGUUAUAACCGGCGAUUUCCGAAUGGGGAAACCCAGUGUGUUUCGACACACUAUCAUUAACUGAAUCCAUAGGUUAAUGAGGCGAACCGGGGGAACUGAAACAUCUAAGUACCCCGAGGAAAAGAAAUCAACCGAGAUUCCCCCAGUAGCGGCGAGCGAACGGGGAGGAGCCCAGAGCCUGAAUCAGUGUGUGUGUUAGUGGAAGCGUCUGGAAAGGCGCGCGAUACAGGGUGACAGCCCCGUACACAAAAAUGCACAUGCUGUGAGCUCGAUGAGUAGGGCGGGACACGUGGUAUCCUGUCUGAAUAUGGGGGGACCAUCCUCCAAGGCUAAAUACUCCUGACUGACCGAUAGUGAACCAGUACCGUGAGGGAAAGGCGAAAAGAACCCCGGCGAGGGGAGUGAAAAAGAACCUGAAACCGUGUACGUACAAGCAGUGGGAGCCUCUUUUAUGGGGUGACUGCGUACCUUUUGUAUAAUGGGUCAGCGACUUAUAUUCUGUAGCAAGGUUAACCGAAUAGGGGAGCCGAAGGGAAACCGAGUCUUAACCGGGCGUUAAGUUGCAGGGUAUAGACCCGAAACCCGGUGAUCUAGCCAUGGGCAGGUUGAAGGUUGGGUAACACUAACUGGAGGACCGAACCGACUAAUGUUGAAAAAUUAGCGGAUGACUUGUGGCUGGGGGUGAAAGGCCAAUCAAACCGGGAGAUAGCUGGUUCUCCCCGAAAGCUAUUUAGGUAGCGCCUCGUGAAUUCAUCUCCGGGGGUAGAGCACUGUUUCGGCAAGGGGGUCAUCCCGACUUACCAACCCGAUGCAAACUGCGAAUACCGGAGAAUGUUAUCACGGGAGACACACGGCGGGUGCUAACGUCCGUCGUGAAGAGGGAAACAACCCAGACCGCCAGCUAAGGUCCCAAAGUCAUGGUUAAGUGGGAAACGAUGUGGGAAGGCCCAGACAGCCAGGAUGUUGGCUUAGAAGCAGCCAUCAUUUAAAGAAAGCGUAAUAGCUCACUGGUCGAGUCGGCCUGCGCGGAAGAUGUAACGGGGCUAAACCAUGCACCGAAGCUGCGGCAGCGACACUGUGUGUUGUUGGGUAGGGGAGCGUUCUGUAAGCCUGUGAAGGUGUACUGUGAGGUAUGCUGGAGGUAUCAGAAGUGCGAAUGCUGACAUAAGUAACGAUAAAGCGGGUGAAAAGCCCGCUCGCCGGAAGACCAAGGGUUCCUGUCCAACGUUAAUCGGGGCAGGGUGAGUCGACCCCUAAGGCGAGGCCGAAAGGCGUAGUCGAUGGGAAACAGGUUAAUAUUCCUGUACUUGGUGUUACUGCGAAGGGGGGGACGGAGAAGGCUAUGUUGGCCGGGCGACGGUUGUCCCGGUUUAAGCGUGUAGGCUGGUUUUCCGGUGCAAAUCCGGAAAAUCAAGGCUGAGGCGUGAUGACGAGGCACUACGGUGCUGAAGCAACAAAUGCCCUGCUUCCGGUGAAAAGCCUCUAAGCAUCAGGUAACAUCAAAUCGUACCCCAAACCGACACAGGUGGUCAGGUAGAGAAUACCAAGGCGCUUGAGAGAACUCGGGUGAAGGAACUAGGCAAAAUGGUGCCGUAACUUCGGGAGAAGGCACGCUGAUAUGUAGGUGAAGUCCCUCGCGGAUGGAGCUGAAAUCAGUCGAAGAUACCAGCUGGCUGCAACUGUUUAUUAAAAACACAGCACUGUGCAAACACGAAAGUGGACGUAUACGGUGUGACGCCUGCCCGGUGCCGGAAGGUUAAUUGAUGGGGUCAGCGCAAGCGAAGCUCUUGAUCGAAGCCCCGGUAAACGGCGGCCGUAACUAUAACGGUCCUAAGGUAGCGAAAUUCCUUGUCGGGUAAGUUCCGACCUGCACGAAUGGCGUAAUGAUGGCCGGGCUGUCUCCACCCGAGACUCAGUGAAAUUGAACUCGCUGUGAAGAUGCAGUGUACCCGCGGCAAGACGGAAAGACCCCGUGAACCUUUACUAUAGCUUGACACUGAACAUUGAGCCUUGAUGUGUAGGAUAGGUGGGAGGCUUUGAAGUGUGGACGCCAGUCUGCAUGGAGCCGACCUUGAAAUACCACCCUUUAAUGUUUGAUGUUCUAACGUGGACCCGUGAUCCGGGUUGCGGACAGUGUCUGGUGGGUAGUUUGACUGGGGCGGUCUCCUCCUAAAGAGUAACGGAGGAGCACGAAGGUUGGCUAAUCCCCGGUCGGACAUCAGGAGGUUAGUGCAAUGGCAUAAGCCAGCUUGACUGCGAGCGUGACGGCGCGAGCAGGUGCGAAAGCAGGUCAUAGUGAUCCGGUGGUUCUGAAUGGAAGGGCCAUCGCUCAACGGAUAAAAGGUACUCCGGGGAUAACAGGCUGAUACCGCCCAAGAGUUCAUAUCGACGGCGGUGUUUGGCACCUCGAUGUCGGCUCAUCACAUCCUGGGGCUGAAGUAGGUCCCAAGGGUAUGGCUGUUCGCCAUUUAAAGUGGUACGCGAGCUGGGUUUAGAACGUCGUGAGACAGUUCGGUCCCUAUCUGCCGUGGGCGCUGGAGAACUGAGGGGGGCUGCUCCUAGUACGAGAGGACCGGAGUGGACGCAUCACUGGUGUUCGGGUUGUCAUGCCAAUGGCACUGCCCGGUAGCUAAAUGCGGAAGAGAUAAGUGCUGAAAGCAUCUAAGCACGAAACUUGCCCCGAGAUGAGUUCUCCCUGACCCUUUAAGGGUCCUGAAGGAACGUUGAAGACGACGACGUUGAUAGGCCGGGUGUGUAAGCGCAGCGAUGCGUUGAGCUAACCGGUACUAAUGAACCGUGAGGCUUAACCUU